rnacentral:lncRNA from 10 species
GUUUACAUAUCAUAAGCAUUAAUUUUUAAUUUAUUAAAUAAAUCAAUAAAUAUUUAUGAGUGUUAUGUAUUCCUAUGUCAAGUUAUUUACAUUAUAAUAUCACUUCCACUCAGUUGAUUUCUUUGUUGACAGCACCCUCUUUAUGACUAAUGCUAAAACCUACUUGGAUUGAUUUAGACAAAAGGACACUGUUUCAGGAAAAAUUCUGGGGAAAUAAUUAAAAAUAUGACCUUGAUGACUUUCAAGGGCCACAAUCAUCUAGAGGAAAAUUAACUAUCUUUAACAGUGGGUUUACUGCAUUUGGGAAGUAGAAUCAUUCACUUUAGAAAAAUAACUAUAAUCAUGGCGGAUGAAAUAAAAAGAGAUUUUUGAAUUGUUUGUGUAAGCCCAAAUGUUGAAGUUAACUGUUUUUGUGAGGUUUUCCACUUGUUUGCUUUUGUUUUUGCAUAUAGAGAAGUAGAAAUGUUGCCUGGCUUUCUUCUGAGUCUGGGUAAAGCUCGAGGGAGGGGUAUAAUGGAGGGAACUAAUGCGAAUUGAGCUAGACUUGGUGCAGUCAUAUGCAAGAUCUCAGUUCAUAUCACAAACGCCCUUAGAAGGAGAUUCAGCUAUUCUUGUUUUCCAGAUAAGGAAAGUGAGGAUCGAAAGGCCUCAGACAUGAUCACAUCCAGUCGAAGCCUGAGACCUGUGGCCCCUGACUCUUUAGAAUCCCUUUCAUCAGACUAUAAAAUUUCUUGUCAGACAAUGAGGUUUUCUAGAUAUACAAUCAUGUCGUCUGCAAACAGGGACAAUUUGACUUCCUCUUUUCCUAACUGAAUACCCUUUAUUUCCUUCUCCUGCCUAAUUGCCCUGGCCAGAACUUCCAACACGAUGUUGAAU